GUACCGCUCUCUUCUACGCACAGCUCGCCAAUUCUGCGACUACAGCAUCAGAGAAUACACGAAGCGUCGCGCUGUCGACGCCUUUCGUGAAAACCGGAACCUAUCAGACCCUUCUUCAAUCUCCGCCGCUUUCUCCGAUGGAAAGGAUCAGCUCGACGUCGCUCAACGACAGGCCAUCGUCUACUUUUUCUACGCCCCCAAAACCAAGAGCGUCAUGGAGACCAGUUCCUAUUCUUCUUCUUCUUGAAAGAAAAAGCACCUUCGUGUUCAAGAUGAUGAUGGGUAAUUUUAUUUAUCUUGAUUUUAAUUUGUAAUAGUUGAUAUUGUAUUUCGUGGUACUAGCAAGUCUAGUCUGAAAAGUGAGUUUUGAUAUCAUAAGAGAACUGAAUUCUUUCUUCUUUGGAACAAUUGAUCCGGAUUUUAAUUUACUACUUUUAGUUGCUUAUUUCAACUUAUAAUUUUGUAGCUGAAGAGAAUAUUGUAUCCUAAAAUCAGGGAAUUUGAGUAAUUAUUGAGCAAGUUACAAUACUUAUUUUUUGUGGUUUUAAUAUAACGUUUUGCGGUAUUCAGUUUGUCAUCUCCAAGUAAAUGGUCGACCUGAUAGUUGAUAGUAUGGAGGAAAAAAGUUGAAUCUUUU
rnacentral:misc_RNA from 1 species